GCCUUCGGGCUUCGACCGGCGUACGGGUGCGUAACGCGUAUACAAUCUGCCUUCACAUAGGGAUAGCCCGAAGAAAUUUGGAUUAAUACCUAAUGGUAUAUAGGAGUGGCAUCACAUUUAUAUUAAAGCUGAGGCGGUGAAAGAUGAGUAUGCGUUCUAUAUAGCUAGGUUGGAGAGGUAACGGCUCCCCAAGGCUACGAUAGAUAGGGGUUCUGAGAGGGAUAUCCCCCACACUGGUACUGAGAUACGGACCAGACUCUUACGGGAGGCAGCAGUGAGGAAUAUUGGACAAUGGUCGGAAGACUGAUCCAGCCAUGCCGCGUGCAGGAAGACGGCCUUAUGGGUUGUAAACUGCUUUUGCAGGGGAAGAAUAAGGACUACGAGUAGUUUGAUGACGGUACUCUGCGAAUAAGCAUCGGCUAACUCCGUGCCAGCAGCCGCGGUAAUACGGAGGAUGCGAGCGUUAUCCGGAAUCAUUGGGUUUAAAGGGUCCGUAGGCGGGCUAAUAAGUCAGAGGUGAAAGCGCUCAGCUCAACUGAGCAGCUGCCUUUGAAACUGUUAGUCUUGAAUGGUUGUGAAGUAGUUGGAAUGUGUAGUGUAGCGGUGAAAUGCUUAGAUAUUACACAGAACACCGAUAGCGAAGGCAUAUUACUAACAAUUAAUUGACGCUGAUGGACGAAAGCGUGGGGAGCGAACAGGAUUAGAUANCCCCUGGUAGUCCGCGCUGUAAACGAUGGAUACUAGCUGUUUGGUUGCAAGACUGAGUG
rnacentral:rRNA from 1 species